UACGGGGGGGGCAAGCGUUGUUCGGAAUUACUGGGCGUAAAGGGCUCGUAGGCGGCCAACUAAGUCGGAUGUGAAAUCCCCAGGCUUAACCUGGGAACUGCAUCCGAUACUGGAUGGCUUGAAUCCGGGAGAGGGAUGCAGAAUUCCAGGUGUAGCGGUGAAAUGCGUAGAUAUCUGGAGGAACACCGGUGGCGAAGGCGGCGUCCUGGACCAAUACUGACACUGAAACGCGAAAGCCAGGGGAGCAAACGGG
rnacentral:rRNA from 1 species